rnacentral:lncRNA from 1 species
GAUUCUCCUGGCAAGAAUACUGGAGUGGGUUGCUGUGCCCUCCUCCAGGGCACCUUCUCGACUCAGGGACUGAACCACAUCUCUUGUCUCCUGUAUUGGCAGGCAGGUUUUUACCACUAGCGCCACCUGGGAAGCCCAAACUGUAGCCUUUCAGGCAAAAGGUAAUGAGGACCCAUAUUAAGAUGAUGAAAUGAGGAUAGAAGGAAGAAAUGGACAUCAAAGAUGAUUGCAUUAUCAUCCCAGACAGGACAGCUAGACUCCUCUGAGCAGCUGAGCAGGGAGAAAGAAACCAUUUACAUAUUUCUCUACAAUCAAGCUCCAAAGAAUUUUGGAGAUAAUAGGUGGUUUUUGCAGCCCACAGUAUCCAUCUGCUGCCUGAACACUGAUAAAAUGGAUAUCCAGCAAGGUGGCAAGCUAGUGAGGUGUUGUGAGAUCAGACUAAGAAAAAUGAAGGAAAAGCAUGGUGAAAUGGGGAUUGAAUGGUGUUUACAGAAAGAAGGCUUUCAGGUCCAAGACCUGUAA